rnacentral:rRNA from 1 species
UCGGGAAUUUUGGGCAAUGGGCGAAAGCCUGACCCAGCAACGCCGCGUGAGGGAUGAAGUAUUUCGGUAUGUAAACCUCGAAAGAAUGGGAAGAAUAAAUGACGGUACCAUUUAUAAGCUCCGGCUAACUACGUGCCAGCAGCCGCGGUAAUACGUAGGGAGCAAGCGUUGUUCGGAUUUACUGGGCGUAAAGGGCGCGUAGGCGGCGCGGUAAGUCACUUGUGAAAUCUCUGAGCUUAACUCAGAACGGCCAAGUGAUACUGCUGUGCUAGAGUGCGGAAGAGGCAACCGGAAUUCUUGGUGUAGCGGUGAAAUGCGUAGAUACCAAGAGGAACACCUGAGGCGAAGGCGGGUUGCUGGGCCGACACUGACGCUGAUGCGCGAAAGCCAGGGGAGCAAACA